rnacentral:rRNA from 1 species
UGCAAGUCGAGCGGUAGCACAGAGAGCUUGCUCUCGGGUGACGAGCGGCGGACGGGUGAGUAAUGUCUGGGAAACUGCCUGAUGGAGGGGGAUAACUACUGGAAACGGUAGCUAAUACCGCAUAAUGUCGCAAGACCAAAGUGGGGGACCUUCGGGCCUCAUGCCAUCAGAUGUGCCCAGAUGGGAUUAGCUAGUAGGUGGGGUAACGGCUCACCUAGGCGACGAUCCCUAGCUGGUCUGAGAGGAUGACCAGCCACACUGGAACUGAGACACGGUCCAGACUCCUACGGGAGGCAGCAGUGGGGAAUAUUGCACAAUGGGCGCAAGCCUGAUGCACCCAUGCCGCGUGUGUGAAGAAGGCCUUCGGGUUGUAAAGCACUUUCAGCGGGGAGGAAGGCGUUGAGGUUAAUAACCUUGGCUAUUGACGUUACCCGCAGAAGAAGCACCGGCUCCGUGCCAGCAGCCGCGGUAAUACGGAGGGUGCAAGCGUUAAUCGGAAUUACUGGGCGUAAAGCGCACGCAGGCGGUCUGUCAAGUCGGAUGUGCCGGGCUCAACCUGGGAACUGCAUUCGAAACUGGCAGGCUAGAGUCUUGUAGAGGGGGGUAGAAUUCCAGGUGUAGCGGUGAAAUGCGUAGAGAUCUGGAGGAAUACCGGUGGCGAAGGCGGCCCCCUGGACAAAGACUGACGCUCAGGUGCGAAAGCGUGGGGAGCAAACAGGAUUAGAUACCCUGGUAGUCCACGCCGUAAACGAUGUCGAUUUGGAGGUUGUGCCCUUGAGGCGUGGCUUCCGGAGCUAACGCGUUAAAUCGACCGCCUGGGGAGUACGGCCGCAAGGUUAAAACUCAAAUGAAUUGACGGGGGCCCGCACAAGCGGUGGAGCAUGUGGUUUAAUUCGAUGCAACGCGAAGAACCUUACCUGGUCUUGACAUCCACAGAACUUUCCAGAGAUGGAUUGGUGCCUUCGGGAACUGUGAGACAGGUGCUGCAUGGCUGUCGUCAGCUCGUGUUGUGAAAUGUUGGGUUAAGUCCCGCAACGAGCGCAACCCUUAUCCUUUGUUGCCAGCGGUUCGGCCGGGAACUCAAAGGAGACUGCCAGUGAUAAACUGGAGGAAGGUGGGGAUGACGUCAAGUCAUCAUGGCCCUUACGACCAGGGCUACACACGUGCUACAAUGGCAUAUACAAAGAGAAGCGACCUCGCGAGAGCAAGCGGACCUCAUAAAGUAUGUCGUAGUCCGGAUUGGAGUCUGCAACUCGACUCCAUGAAGUCGGAAUCGCUAGUAAUCGUAGAUCAGAAUGCUACGGUGAAUACGUUCCCGGGCCUUGUACACACCGCCCGUCACACCAUGGGAGUGGGUUGCAAAAGAAGUAGGUAGCUUAACCUUCGGGAGGGCGCCU